AGCAGCCGCGGUAAUUCCAGCCCCAAUAGCGUAUAUUAAAGUUGUUGCAGUUAAAAAGCUCGUAGUUGAAUUUUAGGCCUGGCCGGGCGGUCCGUCUUUGGCGAAUACUGUCUUGUUGUCGGGUCUUCCUUCUGGUGAACUAGUAUGCCCUUUAUUGGGUGUGUUGGGGAGCCAGGACCAUUACCUUGAAAAAUUAGAGUGUUUAAAGCGGGCUAUUGCUUGAAUAGAUUAGCAUGGAAUAAUAGAAUAGGACGUUUGUGGUUCUAUUUUGUUGGUUUCUAGGACCACCGUAAUGAUUAAUAGGGAUAGUUGGGGGCAUUAGUAUUCAAUUGUCAGAGGUGAAAUUCUUGGAUUUAUUGAAGACUAACUAUUGCGAAAGCAUUUGCCAAGGAUGUUUUCAUUAAUCAAGAACGAAAGUUAGGGGAUCGAAGACGAUCAGAUACCGUCGUAGUCUUAACCAUAAACUAUGCCGACUAGGAAUCGGGCGACGUUAUUUUCAUGACUCGCUC
rnacentral:rRNA from 1 species